rnacentral:lncRNA from 1 species
AGUAUCUAUGAAAUUCAUUUCUAAAGAACAGCAAUAUAACAUAAUAGAAUCAUUUACGUUAAACAAUGUUGUGUCUUACAUUGUAUCAAUGUUAAAGCUAAAUAACAAAAGAAUCUAUAUUAAACUGAAGUCGUAUCUCUUGUAUUAGUUCUGCUUUACAGGUUUAUAUUUGGGAUAAGGCGAACAUAGUAACAAGACGACAGUUUUAACAUAGAGAUGUGAAACGGAAAAUUAAAUUGAUUUCGGAUAAAACUAAUCAACUGAAAAGAAGUAAAGAUGUCAACCCGAAAACAAUCGAUGGUUCCGAGCGAACGAAGAAAGU